ensembl:lncRNA
GAAAUGAACCGAACCAGUCGAGCGUGCACAGCGACAUGACUCGCUAUUGUUCGAGGCUUGUCGACAUAUUAACCUGCAUUCCCUGCAGUCAUCCACUAUACCGAAUUAGUGCAGUAGACAAGGAAAGGGAAACCGGGGGAAAAAAGGAAGGCGGACUAAUUGAAAAACAAUUGGUGGGAAAGCGCAUUAAUUAAUAGGCUCUAUACCGCAUGUCAGAUGAUGCCUCGAGAGCUUGAAGCCUUUUGUAAAAUCCGUCCAUUAGAAAUAAUUUAGCGCGAAUGGGCGAGCUAAUUUCUCAUUAACCUUUGUUAUAAGACCCAGUUACACAUAAUUAGGGACAAUACAGUUGCAGUUUCACCUUAAUGUUUAAGAAUAAACGGUGUUUAAAAUCAUAACAUACAAGAAGAUAUAAACAUUUCCUGCUCCACAAAAGCUGACUGUGGUGAACCUCAGACAAGCCUUACAGAUCUAAUUGAAUGUGACAAGGGCUAAAGCAUAUUUUUGGAGCACCAAAAUGGUGCAUCCCGUUUCAUCCUUGUCAAAAUGUAUUGAUUUCUCUAGUUUUGUGGAGUGGUUGAUGUCUCUGUUACUCAGCGGUCAGCGGGAGAGGGUUGGUUUAAGCGGGUUCAAUUGGAGGGCUGAUACAACACCCACCUAACAAGUCUGUAAAACUAGAUUUAACUUAGGCUUUCUCUCAUUAGAGAUACUCUUGAGUCAAAGUACUCUGUAGAUGUUUUCAAGCAUCAUAGUACUUAACAUAGUGAGAUAUUGUGUAAAAGAUAGGCUACAUUGUCUAUAUUUUUAAUGAUUUACAUUAAGUGAGAGAAUACACCUACAUGCAUAUCCAAUUCUGUAUAUAUUUAUUUAUUUUGUAGGACAGGGGGUAGGAGAUGGGUAGCAGUGGGGGAGAAAGACAGGGAACGGAACAGAGAGUGCGAGCUUGUGCCGACCACGGAGGUGAUGAAUUUCUCUUGGCCAGAAUCAGUGCACCUGGGUUUCCUUUGGUGUAUCCAGAGGUAAAUAAUUGAUGUGGGGAUAAAAGCGUUUGUGAGGGGGAGUGAGACAUUCAGACAAGGGAGUGAAAACCCGGCCGGAGCCCAAUCUUCUAUGCCCCCCUCGCCGUUUGGUGGCCCCUCACACCGCCACCUCGGACAAGCGCUUGAAGUGCAAAUCUGUGUUCUGACUUGUUCCUGGUUGCUGUCAGCAUGUUUUCCUCUUGUCAGUGGCGAUUGACUGGGGGCUCAUCUCACCCUUGUGCCGGGACUGUAGCGGGAUCAUUGACAGAGGAAGUGUAGGCUCUUACACUUUAGGAAUGACCGAAAGCAAGGGCACGGUUGAGAACGUUGAGGGCUAGAUCACUGAUCCUGAUCUCCAGGUCGCUCCUGCCAUUUCAUAGGAGGGAAAAAAAAAUCAAGACAAGUGGCUGUCUUUGGAAACAAGAAAAACACUAAAGGGGAAAAGUGCCCAUCGAUCAAUCAAUCUAUUAACUGUAUCUUCUGGUGUUUGUGUCAGGUGCACCCGAGACUAUGAUUGGGAGAUAAAUGUAAUGUGAGAUAACCUCUCUCUAUCCUUCCUGCAGUCCCUAGUCUGCCUUUGUCACAAACACACCAAUGAAAUAUUAAGAAUGUGCUUAUCUGCCAGAGGGCGAUUUUAAUUACCACCUAAGGUUACACCAUUAAUAUGAAAUAACACAGUGUGCAAUCUCUUC